rnacentral:pre_miRNA from 1 species
UCCUUCAUUCCACCGGAGUCUGUCUCAUAUCUAAUCAGAUUUCAGUGGAGUGAAGCAUA